UACGUAGGGUGCGAGCGUUGUCCGGAAUCAUUGGGCGUAAAGGGCUCGUAGGCGGUCCAUCGCGUCGGGAGUGAAACGCUGGGGCUUAACCCCAGUCCUGCUUUCGAUACGGGUGGACUAGAGGUAGGCAGGGGAGAAUGGAAUUCCUGGUGUAGCGGUGAAAUGCGUAGAGAUGUGGAGGAAUACCGAUGGCGAAGGCAGCCCCCUGGGCCAACACUGACGCUCAUGCACGAAAGCGUGGGGAGCAAACAGG
rnacentral:rRNA from 1 species